rnacentral:rRNA from 1 species
UACGUAGGGUGCAAGCGUUGUCCGGAAUUAUUGGGCGUAAAGAGCUCGUAGGUGGCCUGUCACGUCGGCUGUGAAAACUCGGGGCUCAACCCCGAGCCUGCAGUCGAUACGGGCAGACUAGAGUCCGGCAGGGGAGACUGGAAUUCCUGGUGUAGCGGUGAAAUGCGCAGAUAUCAGGAGGAACACCGGUGGCGAAGGCGGGUCUCUGGGCAGUAACUGACGCUGAGGAGCGAAAGCGUGGGGAGCGAACAGG